GGGGCUGAUUAGGAUUCGACAGGAUUCAAUGAUGCUUGAGGUGCAUGCAGAGGUGCGGUUGGCCUCUUUAAAAAACCGCAAAAAAAUAGUCGCAAACGACGAAAACUACGCACUAGCAGCUUAAUAACCUGUAUAGGCCCUCCCACUCAAGUUUUUUCUGCUAGCUGAGGUUCGGGAGGUCAUCCCAGUAGAAUAGCGAGGGAAGCUUGUCUAAGGCUGAACCGCGAAAUAGUAUUAGGCCAGCCUGAAAAGAUCCUGUUUGCCGGAGCUUCUAAGGUUAAAUAAAAGACAAACUAAGCAUGUAGUACCAACGGUUGACGCUUUCUGGACGCGGGUUCAAGUCCCGCCAGCUCCACCA
rnacentral:tmRNA from 1 species